rnacentral:rRNA from 1 species
UACAAGUAGUAGGAAGGAAACUGGACCGACCUUCCGGGAGGCUUGUACAGGUGCUGCAUGGCUGUCGUCAGCUCGUGUCGUGAGAUGUUCGGUUAAGUCCGCUAACGAGCGCAACCCUCGCUGUGUGUUACAAGUGUCACACGGAACUGCCGGUCAUAAACCGGAGGAAGGUGGGGAUGACGUCAAGUCAGCAUGGCCUUUAUAUCCUGGGCUACACACACGCUACAAUGGGAAGGGACAAUAGGUUGCGAAGCCGCGAGGCGGAGCCAAUCCAGCAAAACUUCCCUCAGUUCAGAUUGCAGGCUGCAACUCGCCUGCAUGAAGUUGGAGUUGCUAGUAAACGCAGGUCAGCCAUACUGCGUUGAAUACGUUCCCGGGGCUU